CUGCUAAUUCGAUAGGUCGUGCCAGGUAAUCUUCAUAUCUGUCGUAUACUUACGAUCUGAUAAGCAUCCAUCUCCCAUAGUUCCAUUAGAGUCGAGGAUGUGACAGUCGAGACUGAGGUACAGAUCCACAACAGGAGUAAUAUAUACAAAAUUAAUCCUCGAUGGAUUAAGAGCAUCCUUAUGAAUAUCUUCAACAGGAGCAAGGAGAUCAUCUUCUACUAAGUUCCAAUAUCUUUAGAAGGAACACAAUGAAAACCACCGC
rnacentral:lncRNA from 1 species